AGCGAACGCUGGCGGCAGGCCUAACACAUGCAAGUCGAACGGAUCCUUCGGGAUUAGUGGCGGACGGGUGUGUAACACGUGGGAACGUGCCCUUUGGUUCGGAACAACUCAGGGAAACUUGAGCUAAUACCGGAUGUGCCCUUCGGGGGAAAGAUUUAUCGCCAUUGGAGCGGCCCGCGUCUGAUUAGCUAGUUGGUGAGGUAACGGCCCACCAAGGCGACGAUCAGUAGCUGGUCUGAGAGGAUGAUCAGCCACACUGGGACUGAGACACGGCCCAGACUCCUACGGGAGGCAGCAGUGGGGAAUCUUGCGCAAUGGGCGAAAGCCUGACGCAGCCAUGCCGCGUGAAUGAUGAAGGUCUUAGGAUUGUAAAAUUCUUUCAGCGGGGACGAUAAUGACGGUACCCGCAGAAGAAGCUCCGGCUAACUUCGUG
rnacentral:rRNA from 1 species